rnacentral:sRNA from 1 species
CUUUGUGUGGCAUCAUUAAGAUGAAAAGAAACCUGCUGCACAAUAUGGCAUUCAACCCGAUGCUGCCCUUGCUGUUGAAUGAUACAUUGGAAAAACUUGACGGAUGUUUUUUUUUUCAGCCAAGGGACUUGGUGCAACCGGGUGACACUAGUUGGAUUUAAUCUCAACAAAUGAUGUCUGUUGAAAACAACCUGAGGUGUUUGCAGAAUCAUGCCAAUUGUCGCUCAAGUUCCCGGGAUGCGGAUGUUGAUCAGUAGAUCUGCCAAUUCGUUGCUGUAAAUGCAGAAGUGAGGAACAAAAUUUAGCAAGCUUUGGUGAAUGAUGUAAUCAUUGUUCUAAAAAUUCUCACUUAGGUGGCUGGCCACCGUCCCGAUUAAUUCUUAGGGGUUUGAAAAUUAAGAAAGGGCGCAUAGACCGAUUUCUAGGUUGGGACACCCACUUGUACAAAAAAUUAAUAACUUUCCCUUUGCGUUUUAUUUUUUCAAGAAAAUGUAAGAGACUUGUUGAAUUCUUGAAUGAACGCUCACUAUGUUUUAAUACUCAAUAUGUAUCCCAAU